rnacentral:rRNA from 1 species
GACGAACGCUGGCGGCGUGCCUAAUACAUGCAAGUAGAACGCUGAAGAGAGGAGCUUGCUCUUCUUGGAUGAGUUGCGAACGGGUGAGUAACGCGUAGGUAACCUGCCUUGUAGCGGGGGAUAACUAUUGGAAACGAUAGCUAAUACCGCAUAACAAUGGAUGACACAUGUCAUUUAUUUGAAAGGGGCAAUUGCUCCACUACAAGAUGGACCUGCGUUGUAUUAGCUAGUAGGUGAGGUAACGGCUCACCUAGGCGACGAUACAUAGCCGACCUGAGAGGGUGCUCGGCCACACUGGGACUGAGACACGGCCCAGACUCCUACGGGAGGCAGCAGUAGGGAAUCUUCGGCAAUGGGGGCAACCCUGACCGAGCAACGCCGCGUGAGUGAAGAAGGUUUUCGGAUCGUAAAGCUCUGUUGUAAGUCAAGAACGAGUGUGAGAGUGGAAAGCUCACACUGUGACGGUAGCUUACCAGAAAGGGACGGCUAACUACGUGCCAGCCGCCGCGGUAA